UUCCAGACUCCUACGGGAGGCAGCAGUGGGGAAUAUUGCACAAUGGGCGAAAGCCUGAUGCAGCAACGCCGCGUGAAGGAAGAAGGGUUUCGGCUCGUAAACUUCUAUCAACAGGGACGAAAGAAAUGACGGUACCUGAAUAAGAAGCCCCGGCUAACUACGUGCCAGCCGCCGCGGUAAUACGUAUGGAGCCAGCGUUAUCCGGAUUUACUGGGUGUAAAGGGAGCGUAGGCGGCCUGCCAAGUCUGAUGUGAAAUACCGGGGCUCAACCCCGGGGCUGUAUUGGAAACUGGCAGGCUGGAGUGUCGGAGAGGCAGGCGGAAUUCCUAGUGUAGCGGUGAAAUGCGUAGAUAUUAGGAGGAACACCAGUGGCGAAGGCGGCCUGCUGGACGAUGACUGACGCUGAGGCUCGAAAGCGUGGGGAGCAAACAGGAUUAGAUACCCUAGUA
rnacentral:rRNA from 1 species